AAAAAAUAGUUUCUGAAGUACAAGUGGGGAUUCAGAAUGGAACUAAUAAACAGAAUAAAUUUGCUCUCUUGUUGAGUAGAUUUCCGUGCUGUAAUCUGUGGCAGAAUAAUUGUCAAGUCUUGGGAACUUCCAGCAGUGGCCUGCGACAAACUUAUGAAAACAUCACAAAAAGGGAUCAACUUGUAAAGAGUGUUUCCUUACUUUGAUUGGCCCACCAGGUGUCGGAGAGACUGCAACGGUCAAAGCUUAUGUAAAUCUCCUGAUAUUAAGUUAUUUGCUUGGUCAAAUAAGCAUCAAGAAAAUGCUAAACACAAAUAAUGGCAUGUUCUGCUUUGGAGAUCAGAUAACCUCUAGGGAAACUCAAGCUCGGUCCUUAUGUCUAUUUCUCUUACAAUCAUCGAAAUAUUUUUACAUUCAAAUGGUAAAAGAAUGAUACUUAUUGAGGUGAGACUUUUUUAUUUCAAUUAUUUAAUUAUCAAACAAUGACAUUUAAAAGAGUGGGAACUGGGAAUUUUUUUUA